rnacentral:tRNA from 1 species
GGCCUUAUAUUCAAUAAUGAUAUUAGACUGCAAUUCUAAAGGAGUAUAAUUAAUACUAAGGCCU